rnacentral:rRNA from 1 species
GACGAACGCUGGCGGCGCGCUUAACACAUGCAAGUCGAGCGAAGCGGCGGACGGGUGAGUAACACGUGAGUAACCUGCCUUAGCCAUUGGGAUAGCCUCGGGAAACCGGGAUUAAUACCAAAUGGUCUAAGAUGGACUCACGUCCCAUUAGCUCGUUGGUGAGGUAACGGCCCACCAAGGCGACGAUGGGUAGCCGGCCGGGUAGGUGGACGUGCCACAUUGGAACUGAGAAACGGGCCAAACUCUACGGGAGUCAGCAGUGGGGAAUAUUGCACAAUGGAGGGAACCCUGAUGCAGCGACGCCGCGUGAACGAAGAAGGCUUUCGAGUCGUAAAGUUCUUUUAUAUGGGAAGCGGUACCAUAAGAAAAAGCCCCGGCUAACUACGUGCCAGCCGCCGCGGUAAUUC